AGCAGAAACAUUUUCUCAUUAUACUUUUAACCCAGUUGGGCAGAUUUCUCUGACUACUCCGCAGGAAAAUGUUUCCAUCUCUAGGCAUUACAUUUUUCUCCUCUCGCUCCUUAUGAACCUAACUGGUAAAAAAACGGCAACAAUUACUUCUAGUGUUCACCUUGGAGGCAGUAUGUCCCACAGGAGGUCUCUUAACUGUAGCUUCAAGCGUAUGGAGAAAAACCAAACAAAGCGAAGCAAUGAAAAAUGAUUGGUACAGGCGCUAUAUGAACAUGAAGCUUUUAGAAACUUCCAUGUUGAACCCUGGCGAAUUACAAACUGAGGACCAGCCAUCAUACUGGCAAGAAGGUUUUCAGAUAGAAGACCAAUAGAGGUGAUAACCUAGGAAGUCAGAGAUCUGGAGUCAGUCUGGUCCAGGGAUGUGAAGUGUGUCCAUGUAAUGGGUCAUAAAUCAAGGCGUGGAGUCUUUGUGUCAAUGAAUUUUAAUAGUUAGAAUUAAUAGAUUAUUCACUCCCUGUCAUUACUGAACACCCUUUUAUUAUUAAGACCUUUGAAUCUAUCACACUGUGCCGUGUCCAGUGUUUACUACCGGGUUUGUUUUGUUUUCCUUAUUGUGUUUCUUUGUGGAUUUAUCAUGGAUUGUAGUUUCUGCUUAG